CUCAGCGGCGCCGAUGACCAUCUUCGAUCUCUUUCUCUGGUAAAACAAAACACGACGCCGCUCAUGAACUGAACUAAGAGUAUCUCUCCCCCUCGCCUCUCAUCUCAAACUCAAACCCUAAUUCGGAUCUCUCUCACUAACCCUAAAUCUAUGAAGCUCCAUUGAAUGCUCUAAGAAGCAUGAAUCAAUUGAAAGCUAUAGGGUUAUCAUUCAAUAGAUCUCGGGCAACAUCAUAGCAUCAAGAAAAGAAGAAAAAGAUAGCGAUUACGCACACCACAUAGCGAUUUCCCUCUGGGUUCCAAUAUGAGCUCUCGGACGAGCAGGCAGACUGCUGUCAGAAGUUACCGGCGUAGGAAGGCAGUUUUGGACCUUGACCUUAAAUGAAUGCCGGCUGGUGAGAAUCGUGAGCAGGAAGGACCUUCAACUAAGUUGGAGCCUCAAGUAGUCGAAACUCAAGCCAACAACAACCAGCAACAACCCCCGUUUAUUGAUGUGGAGGCCAUUGAUGAUGAUGUUAUUGAAUCUUCCCCUAGGGCCUUUGUUGAGGUUUAAUUAUGAUCUCAACCUUGAAGGCUUAGGUGAAACGCGACACAUAGGAUUGUACUCAAUCAUCAUAUAAUCGAGAUGUCUUCAUGGCAUACCUAGAUCAAAGCAUGGAGAUCUUCACUAGGGAGUUGAUAUUUGAAGCAGACAUCAGAACCCGCCAUAGCAGAGAGCUUACCAAUGAGGUUUGAUAACUUGACAAUAUAAUCAGC